AAUAAGUGCAGUUUUGCACUAUUCACGUUCAACGUUUGACUGUUCGUCUUAUUUAAAAAUUUUUUAUGAUUAGUAUUUUUAUUGCUAUUAGAUGAUAAAAAAUGAAUAGUACUUUAUGUGUGACUAAAUAUUUUUAAAUUUUUCAAAUAAGACGGACGGUCAAAUGUUGGGCACGGAUAUCUACGGCUGCACUUAUU
rnacentral:pre_miRNA from 1 species